rnacentral:rRNA from 1 species
GAUGAACGCUGGCGGCGUGCCUAAUACAUGCAAGUCGAGCGAACAGACGAGGAGCUUGCUCCUCUGACGUUAGCGGCGGACGGGUGAGUAACACGUGGAUAACCUACCUAUAAGACUGGGAUAACUUCGGGAAACCGGAUCUAAUACCGGAUAAUAUAUUGAACCGCAUGGUUCAAUAGUGAAAGACGGUUUUGCUGUCACUUAUAGAUGGAUCCGCGCCGCAUUAGCUAGUUGGUAAGGUAACGGCUUACCAAGGCGACGAUGCGUAGCCGACCUGAGAGGGUGAUCGGCCACACUGGAACUGAGACACGGUCCAGACUCCUACGGGAGGCAGCAGUAGGGAAUCUUGCACAAUGGGCGAAAGCUUGACGGAGCAACGCCGCGUGAGUGAUGAAGGUCUUCGGAUCGUAAAACUCUGUUAUUAGGGAAGAACAAAUGUGUAAGUAACUAUGCACGUCUUGACGGUACCUAAACAGAAAGCCACGGCUAACUACGUG